AUUGAACGCUGGCGGCAGGCUUAACACAUGCAAGUCGAGCGGAGAUGAGGUGCUUGCACCUUAUCUUAGCGGCGGACGGGUGAGUAAUGCUUAGGAAUCUGCCUAUUAGUGGGGGACAACAUUCCGAAAGGAAUGCUAAUACCGCAUACGUCCGACGGGAGAAAGCAGGGGAUCUUCGGACCUGGCGCUAAUAGAUGAGCCUAAGUCGGAUUAGCUAGUUGGUGGGGUAAAGGCCUACCAAGGCGACGAUCUGUAGCGGGUCUGAGAGGAUGAUCCGCCACACUGGGACUGAGACACGGCCCAGACUCCUACGGGAGGCAGCAGUGGGGAAUAUUGGACAAUGGGGGGAACCCCGAUCCAGCCAUGCCGCGUGUGUGAAGAAGGCCUUAUGGUUGUAAAGCACUUUAAGCGAGGAGGAGGCUACUGAGACUAAUACUCUUGGAUAGUGGACGUUACUCGCAGAAUAAGCACCGGCUAACUCUGUGCCAGCCGCCGCAGUAACAC
rnacentral:rRNA from 1 species